rnacentral:rRNA from 1 species
GGGGAAUUUUAGACAAUGGGGGCAACCCUGAUCCAGCCAUGCCGCGUGAGUGAAGAAGGCCUGCGGGUUGUAAAGCUCUUUCGGCCGGGAAGGAAUCGUGCAGGCUAAUACCCUGUAUGGAUGACGGUACCUGAAUAAGACGCACGGGCUAACUACGUGGUAGCAGCCGCGGUAAUACGUAGGGUGCGAGCGUUAAUCGGAAUUACUGGGCGUAAAGCGUGCGCAGGCGGUUUUGUAAGACAGGCGUGAAUCCCCGGGCUCAACCUGGGAACUGCGCUUGUGACUACAAGACUAGAGUACGGCAGAGGGGGGUGGAAUUCCACGUGUAGCAGUGAAAUGCGUAGAGAUGUGAAGGAAAACCAAUGGCGAAAGCAGCCUCCUGGGGCGAUACUGACGCUCAUGCACGAAAGCGUGGGGAGCAAACA